ACUUAACUAAGAAAUAUACCAAUAACUGUUAGAUGAGGCCACAAGACUUAAAGAUCAAAUCCGCUGCAUCUUGCUUAGUGAAGCAAUGGACAAGAUUUUGUCCACUCAUUGGUCUAUGCUCAUCAAUAACUGUUAGGUAAGCUACGUAUAGAUCAGUGGGACCACAAUACCCACUAGAAACCGAUCGCAUAUAGAUUUUCGUUUCUCCAUCUGAGAAGCGUGGGAGAUUCGAAAAAAAUAAUGGGAGCUGAUUUAUUUUUUAAAAUUUCUAAAAUAAAUAUUUAAUAAAUACAAACAUCUAACUAAAAACUGUUCUCUCUACAGAUAACCAUGUCGAGUUCCAAUCCUUUAGCUCAUAUUUUUGACACAAAUAGAUUGAUCGGAACAAACUACAAAGACUGACUCCAGAAUUUGAAAAUCGUUCUCAGUUUCGAGAAACUAACCAAUCUCCUAGACUAGAAUGCGCCUGUGUUACCAGCUCGUCCAUCCCCUAAUCAACGAGCCGCACUUAAAAAGUAGGUGAAUGAGGACAAUAAGACGAAGUGUUACAUUCUAGCGUCCAUGUCCAAUGAUCUUCAGCGAUAGAAUGAAGACACGAGGACUGCAAAGGAGAUGCUGACUUAUCUGCAAGAGUUGUACAGUGAGCAAAGUCGCACAGCUUGCUUUAAGAUCUCUCAAAGACUAUUCAAAGCGAAAAUGUGUGAUGGACAGUCCGU
rnacentral:lncRNA from 1 species